GUGUGCAUAUUAAUGUUAGGGGACAAUGUGAGAGAUGAGUACGUUUUAGCAGGAAAACGUAUUAUAUGAUCUACACUCCGAAACAGAAGAGGGCGGUAAUGCACCAAUAAGCUGGAUGCCAACUGCCUUUAAACUGGAAAGAAGAAUAUGAGAGCUUGCUGUGAGAGACAAUGGGACAGAUGAGACACACGUGUGUUUAUCUGCUGUAGAGACACUGAUGAAGGAAUGCUGCCAGCAAAUGAGUUGUAUCUUUUGUGGAGGAGCAGGACCUGCAAGGAAAGGUGAAAAAAGAGGGAAAACCUGAAACAAAAGAAUAAUGUAAUGACUUUUUGUAUUGUGUAUGUGUAUUUUUGUAGGACAUGAAAAUGUAUGUAGACUGGUGUGUGCACUGAGGAUGGAGAAGACGGGAGUCACAGAUGAAACGCUCCAUCACUCCACCUGCCCUUUACUGUCUCAUCAGGACCAGAAAAUUAAUGUAUUCACAUCGACUGCAUUUAUUUAACUAUAUAUUCAUGUAUAUUUCACAAAAGAAAAUACAUUUUGCUUCUUUUACUAAAAUGUCAUUUAAAAAAAAUAUAUAUAAUUA